rnacentral:misc_RNA from 1 species
AAGAAAAACCUUCUGUGGAGAAUGAGUACCAGAAAGGACUUGGUCAUCUUUUGAAAAAAGAGAAGCCAUAGUUUUCUGAGAUGAAGACGGCAAGACAUCUUCCUUGUUUGAUCUGCAUCGAUCUGGAGGUAACAGCCAGCUUCCUGGACCACCUACCAAACCUAAACCAUCCUGAACAAGAGGAGAACUGUUCCACAUUUGCCAU